ensembl:lncRNA
UAUAGAAGCUGGAAAAGGUACAAAACUGAAUCUUCCACUAGAAUCUUAAGGAAGGAACCUGGCUCUGAUGAACACUUCAGUUACAACCCAGUGAGGCCUAAGUGGCAGCUGGGACUCUACUCCUUGAAGCUCAUACGAACUAGGAUUAUGAAACACUCAGUGUCCAAGAUUAUCUUCAGCCUCAAAAUCCAGCAUGCAGCCAGAAGAGAGCAUUUGGAAAUCUCAAGGGAAAAACUUUAAAAAAAUCAUUUCUUUCCACUUUCAUUCACCAGAACUGAAUCUCAUGUCCUUACCCAGAUGUUCUUAAGUAUCCUGGAAGAUGAAGUUCCUUACUGAAUGGCUGCUUCUAAGGAACCAUUGUACAACUCAGGAAGACAGCACAGAGCCAGUAUAUUUCUUCAUAAUAGCCAAAAAAUGGAAAUAACCAAAUAACCAUUUGAUGAAUGGAUUAAAAAUAUAUAAUAUCCACAGGAGAUAUUAUUCAGCCAUGAAAACAGAAUGGUGUACUUUUAAUGCUAUUCUGGUGGAAAAAAGAUAACAUGCAAGUAGAAGAGGACUAUUUGGAAGGGACAAAAAGAAGAGGGAGAGAGGUAAAUCUUUUUAUGGUGCACUAUUUUGCAGUGAAAUUGGCAAGUGGUUAACAGAAAGAAAAGAAAAAAAGUAAGAAGAAAGAAAAGGAAUGGGCCUGUUUAAUUUUCAAAUUUAAUAAAAGUCCAUGGGUGAUUGAGAGUUGGCAGAUAUAAUGUUUCCAGUCAAGCCCUGCCAUCUAAAGAGAAGUAUUUCAUAUCUGCACCAUGUCCAAGUCACAAGCAAACACUGUCCAGGGAUGCGGCAUGGAAUUCAUCUCUUUCCAGGAUUUAAAAAGAACAUAAAUCCCUGGUGUUUUGAAUGACUAGAUUUGUAUUGAAUUUUUUCUUCCUUUUUCUUUCUGGAGGAAAGUCAGUCAACCCAGACUACUUCCUUAGCUUCCAUUCUUGGGUAGAUUAUAAUUCAAAACAGAAAUAUUCAAUAAAGGAAUUGUCUGUGAUCUCAGAAUGUAUUUAUUGUAUGAUUCAAUAUAGAAAGCAUAAGAAAAUUAGAACAAAGGGAAAUUUAAACAUAGAAAUCAGAAACGUAUUAUGAUGAAUAAUAAUUACCUUUUUGUUUCCUGGAAAUGCUUUAAACUACAACACUUCUACCAAGUAAUUGUUAACCAUCGUAUUUAACCUAAUAAAGUUCACUCUAGCAAC